ensembl:lincRNA Meg3 maternally expressed 3
CCCCCCCCCCCCGCCUCCCCAAACUCACCUCAGUUGCCAACAGCCUCCUGGUGCCUGUUGGACCAUCCCUUGCUGGUUCUUCAUUUCCUGUGGGCCUAGUUUCCAGGGGCUGAGUGACUAGGGUCUUAAAACAGGUUUAAGGCUUGGCUUGCUGGCCCUGGAGAUCCCGUCGCCGUCUUCGUCGAACUCGAAAUCCUAGCCAUCGUCCUUCCCUGGCCUGUCGCGUCUUCCUGUGCCAUUUGCUGUUGUGCUCAGGUUCCACGAGCUGCCCAUCUCCACAGAAGAGCAGCUGGCAUUGCCCACCGGCCAUGCCGGCUGAAGAAAAGAAGACUGAGGACCCCAGGAUGCCCAGCGCGAGGACCCCAGGAAGCCCAGCGCGAGGACUCCACCCACGACGCCCAGCGCGAGGACUUCACGCACAACACGUUGCAACCCUCCUGGAUUAGGCCAAAGCCAUCAUCUGGAAUCCUGCGUGGGACCCUGGACACACGGACACAGACACCUGCCCCCAGGACCCUCCAACUGUAAAUCGAUUGGAAGCGCCCUUGUGAGCUGGGGCCUUCAAAGGGCUGAGGAGAAAAUGCAGGCCGAGAGACCAGCUUCUCAAAUAGGCUUCAAGCCUCCAUGACCUGAGCUCACCCCCUGGAAAUGUCUGGAAAACAUAAUGGGCAGGUUUUCUGUCUUCAAAGUUUCCA